UGGGGAAUAUUGGACAAUGGGGGCAACCCUGAUCCAGCAAUGCCGCGUGUGUGAAGAAGGUCUUCGGAUUGUAAAGCACUUUCGACGGGGACGAUGAUGACGGUACCCGUAGAAGAAGCCCCGGCUAACUUCGUGCCAGCAGCCGCGGUAAUACGAAGGGGGCUAGCGUUGCUCGGAAUGACUGGGCGUAAAGGGCGUGUAGGCGGUUUACACAGUCAGAUGUGAA
rnacentral:rRNA from 1 species